GACGAACGCUGGCGGCGUGCUUAACACAUGCGAGUCGAACGGAAAGGCCUUUUCGGAGGUACUCGAGUGGCGAACGGGUGAGUAACACGUGGGUGAUCUGCCCUGCACUCUGGGAUAAGCCUGGGAAACUGGGUCCAAUACCGGAUAGGACCGCACUUUAGUGUGUGUGGUGGAAGGUUUUUUCGGUGUAGGAUGAGCCCGCGGCCUAUCAGCUUGUUGGUGGGGUAAUGGCCUACCAAGGCGGCGACGGGUAGCCGGACUGAGAGGUUGGUCGGCCACAUUGGGACUGAGAUACGGCCCAGACUCCUACGGGAGGCAGCAGUGGGGAAUAUUGCACAAUGGGCGCAAGCCUGAUGCAGCGACGCCGCGUGGGGGAUGACGGCCUUCGGGUUGUAAACUCCUUUCGCCAGGGACGAAGCGUUUUGUGACGGUACCUGGAGAAGAAGCACCGGCUAACUACGUG
rnacentral:rRNA from 1 species